CAGCCGCCACGGUAAUACAGAGGUCCCGAGCGUUGUUCGGAUUCACUGGGCGUAAAGGGUGUGUAGGAGGCUUGGUAAGUCAGGUGUGAAAUCCCGCAGCUCAACUGCGGAACUGCAUUCGAUACUGCCGAGCUAGAGGAUCGGAGGGGGAAGCGGAAUUCUUGGUGUAGCGGUGAAAUGCGUAGAUAUCAAGAGGAACACCAGUGGCGAAGGCGACAUACUGGUCCAUUACUGACGCUGAGGCUCGAAAGCGUGGGGAGCAGACAGGAUUAGAUACCCCUGUAGUCCCUGUCUCUUAUAC
rnacentral:rRNA from 1 species